GAUACUUGGAUACAGUAACUUCAAGAAAACUGAAGAGUGGGAACAACAUAUGAAUCAAUUGUUGUGCCAAAAUUAUAUAGUCUCACAAAAAUUAGCUUCAAGUUUGCAUAUUAUUAUGGUUUCUGAACUUAUUCACUGUGCCAGAUUAUCUCUUUUGACUUUCAAUCGACUUUGUUAUUUUCUUUCUAAGUUAAGAAUUUGAUGGAGUGUGUUUUUUUUUUGAAAUUGCUGGAACAGGAAUCAAAAGAAGGAAGAAAGAAUCUGAAGUUGAAGAUGACAUUGAAGAAAUCUCUUGCACAUCGGAGGAUACUAAUGGCAGUGAUGAAGAUUGGAGCAC